AUUGAACGCUGGCGGCAUGCCUUACACAUGCAAGUCGAACGGUAACAGGUCUUCGGACGCUGACGAGUGGCGAACGGGUGAGUAAUACAUCGGAACGUGCCCAGUCGUGGGGGAUAACUACUCGAAAGAGUAGCUAAUACCGCAUACGAUCUGAGGAUGAAAGCGGGGGACCUUCGGGCCUCGCGCGAUGGGAGCGGACGAGGGCAGAUUAGGUAGUUGGUGGGAUAAAAGCUUACCAAGCCGACGAUCUGUAGCUGGUCUGAGAGGACGACCAGCCACACUGGGACUGAGACACGGCCCAGACUCCUACGGGAGGCAGCAGUGGGGAAUUUUGGACAAUGGGCGAAAGCCUGAUCCAGCAAUGCCGCGUGCAGGAUGAAGGCCUUCGGGUUGUAAACUGCUUUUGUACGGAACGAAAAAGCUCCUUCUAAUACAGGGGGCCCAUGACGGUACCGUAAGAAUAAGCACCGGCUAACUACGUGCCAGCCGCCGCAGUAA
rnacentral:rRNA from 1 species